GCCCUCGUAGUUCAAUGGAUAGAACGGCCCCGUCCUAAGGGGCAAAUAUGGGUCCGAUUCCUGUCGAGGGCACCA
rnacentral:tRNA from 2 species